GUUUGGGGAGCUAAGCUGUCCCUGCCUCCCUCAUCAUUUGAAUGGUGAACACUCAUAAAACUGAGUUCAGCAUUGUGUCUCUCUUUAUGUUUAUACUCUGAACAAGGCUGGAGAUACUUCAGCUCCAGUCUGUACUACAUCUCCACUGAGAAGAAGAGCUGGAGUGAGAGCAGACAGUUCUGCAGAGAGAGAGGAGCAGACCUGCUGAUCAUAAACAGCAGAGAAGAACAGGAAUUCAUCAGUAAAGAAUUUGGCAGUACUGAAGCUUGGAUUGGUCUGACGGACAUGAAGAAAGAAGGGGUCUGGAAAUGGGUGGACGGCUCAGCACUGACCAUUAAGUUCUGGUUUAAGGGGGAGCCCAAUGAUUAUGAAGGAGAUGAGGACUGUGCUGUAACUGGCUAUAAAGGUUCUGGAUCUGAACGUGUAUCAACCUGGGCUGAUUAUCGCUGUACCUGGGCUGAAUACCCUUUAGUUGGAAUCUGUGAAAGUAAAUGGCAGAAACUGUUUUCUUUUUCAUUCAUGAAAUAAUGGAAUACAAUAAUUGCUAUUCAUCAUCGUGUUUAUUGAUCAGUUUCAACUAUUUAAACUUUAUAAUGAUCAGGAAAAGUUCUCAGUGUUUUCUGUUUAUUGAAUAAAAAGACAUAAGAUAAAAUAUUAUAGGCAAUUUAGCUUAGAAACUCAGGUUAUAGGAGUCCAGAUAGGCUAACAUGACAGUACAGCACAGUAUGAUUACAUGAGUUCCUGUGCCUAAUUUUGUUACUAUUUUUGCCAGGUUAGCAAGUGUGACACGGCUUUUGUCAUAACCAGUUUAGACAGGAACAGUUAUCUGUCCGAGUAACACAACAGCUACCAAACACACUGAGCAGCGUUUGAUUGAAGUCUGUUUGAAGGUUUUUCUGACUUCAAAUGUAAAUCAUUGUCUAUCUUUUCUUUCUCUUGCAGUUAAAGCUGACGUUACUAAGAAGGUGUCAGACUGAUCAGCAACUCAGCUCAGCCAGUUAUUUACUCUUCCUGAUGAGGCCCAAGCCCUAUCACAACAAUGCUACCUGCUGCAGAAUGGAAUCUAGAGUUGUGCUGAUGACUUCUGUUUUAUAUUGCUUAAAGCAUUCACUACAUGUUCUAGCAGCAAUGCUACUAGCAUGUAUGUUAGCACCAAAAUACUGCUAUACUUCAAUGCAUAUUUUUGCUUUUAAAAAAUUGGUGUGGCUUUUUGGUCACGUCAGCAAUGCUGGACAACAAAUAAAGUGCUUGACCACUCAAAGAUAUAAAACAAAACUGUUCAUAUUUCAUUUUUAACUUACCUGUUUAUCUGAAAACACAACUUUGUCAUCACUCUGAACUCCUCUGUCCUUCAUGAGGGUUUUCCAGCUGAAAAACAUGACACCAUUGUUUACCCCAGUUAUUUGCUGAUGCUGGUCUCUUAGUUUUCUUCCUUUGUUUUCUUGCAUUUUUAUGUGGCCUCAUGUUACUCGCUGCUGACUCCCCAUCGUUUCUGCUUGUAGAGUGUAGUGAUGAUGCUCCAUGAUCAUUAUUUCUGUUCAGUAUUCAGCAACACACAGCUCACCUGUCAGGUACUGCUUUGGAUUAUCUAGGGGAAACUGACUAGCAUAGCCUUAGCAGCUUUAACCAAUGAGUCUAUGUCAGGGAAGAACAACUCUUGUCCUGGAGGGCUGGUGUCCAGCACAGUUUGGAGGUUUCCCUACUCAAACACACCCACUAAACCUUUAAAUUAACAGAUGAGUGUAAUCAGGUGUG